GUUCUUAGUAUAAGCAAUUAUACAGCGAAACUGCGAAUGGCUCAUUAAAUCAGUUAUCGUUUAUUUGAUAGUACCUUACUACAUGGAUAACCGUGGUAAUUCUAGAGCUAAUACAUGCUGAAAACCCCGACUUCGGAAGGGGUGUAUUUAUUAGAUUAAAAACCAAUGCCCUCCGGGGCUUACUGGUGAUUCAUGAUAACUUCUCGAAUCGCACGGCCUUGCGCCGGCGAUGGUUCAUUCAAAUUUCUGCCCUAUCAACUUUCGACGGCUGGGUCUUGGCCAGCCGUGGUGACAACGGGUAACGGAGGGUUAGGGCUCGACCCCGGAGAAAACGCCUGAGAAACGGCGUUUACAUCCAAGGAAGGCAGCAGGCGCGCAAAUUACCCAAUGCCGACACGGCGAGGUAGUGACGAGAAAUACUGAUACAGGGCUCUUUUGGGUCUUGUAAUUGGAAUGAGUACAAUUUAAAUCCCUUAACGAGGAACAAUUGGAGGGCAAGUCUGGUGCCAGCAGCCGCGGUAAUUCCAGCUCCAAUAGCGUAUAUUAAAGUUGUUGCAGUUAAAAAGCUCGUAGUUGAACCUUGGGCCUGGCUGGCCGGUCCGCCUCACCGCGUGCACUGGUCCGGCCGGGCCUUUCCCUCUGGGGAACCCCAUGCCCUUCACUGGGCGUGGCGGGGAACCAGGACUUUUACUUUGAAAAAAUUAGAGUGUUCAAAGCAGGCCUAUGCUCGAAUACAUUAGCAUGGAAUAAUAGAAUAGGACGUGCGGUUCUAUUUUGUUGGUUUCUAGGACCGCCGUAAUGAUUAAUAGGGACAGUCGGGGGCGUCAGUAUUCAAUUGUCAGAGGUGAAAUUCUUGGAUUUAUUGAAGACUAACUACUGCGAAAGCAUUCGCCAAGGAUGUUUUCC
rnacentral:rRNA from 1 species